GAAGAUGUGAAGGACGGUGUGUCCCAAUCCCUGGGCACAAUAAUGGACUUCUGACUGCCUUUCGCUACCAAGCAAGUGAAUAGUAACCAGACAAAGACUCUUGAGUUCGGUAAUUGGGGUCGCGAGCUGCAGGAACCUGUGCAUCUGAGAUGUCAUCUGCCUGCUUGUUGUCGUAGAUUUGUUUAUUUGUAUUUAAACUGCCCCCAUGGUAAUAAUAAGGUCCAUUGAAAAGUUUUAAAUCAAAAGACUACACUGAGUUUCUACUUGGCUAUGGAUAAACAUCGACUCCAUCAUCCCAACUCUACAACUCAACUCUACUAAAAGUGACUUCCGACAAAGGACUUGUGCUGCGGAUCUGGUCUGCCGGUGUGGGUUACUGCAUUUACCGCAGCCUCCGGGGAGAAAGAGCUCCUCCUGACCACAUUCAGUCUCCUCAUGGAGAUUGAGGAGAGCCUUACCCUUACAGGUGAUGGUGGUGCCCUUUAUUUGGUACGAUCCUCUUCUUUGUUUAAUGGUGU